rnacentral:lncRNA from 1 species
CUCUGUCACCCAGGCUGGAGUGCAAUGGCGCUAUCUACUGCAGCCUCUGCCUUCCAGGUUCAAGCGAUUCUCCUGCCUCAGCCUCCCCAGUAGCUGGGAUUACAGACGUGCGCCACCACGUCUACGUAAUUUUUGUAUUUUUAGUGGAGACAGGCUCUCACCAUGUUGACCAGGCUGGUCUCGAACUCCCGACCUCAAGUGAUCCGCCGGCCUCGGCCUCCCAAAGUGCUGGGAUUACAGGCGUGAACCACCAUUCCUGGCCCUUCUGUUACUUUUCCACUGCUGUUGAGAUAGAAGUCACUGUUGGGAUCCAACCUUUUUGUUUGUAUAAACUGACAACAAGAAGGUAUUCCAAGCUGCACAAUGAGGCCCAGGAGACCCUUGGUCUUCAUGUCUUUGGUGUGUGCACUCUUGAACACAUGCCAGGCACACAGGGUGCAUGACAACAAGCCUAAUAUUGUCCUAAUCAUGGUUGAUGACCUGGGUAUUGGAGAUCUGGGCUGCUACGGCAAUGACACCAUCAGGUA